rnacentral:misc_RNA from 1 species
GGAACCGUUGCAGGCGCCCGAUGUGGGUCCGCAAGGAGCUAUCUCAUUGGUUUACCAAGUAAAGAUCAGAUUGACUAUGUCUUCUUCAGCUGCUUCAGCUCCCUUGGUCUUGGCCCCACAGUCGGGGUCUCGUGACCAUGAGGAUGGGUCCGAGUCUCGACGUCGACCUCAGCCGCGUUCACCUCAGGGUGGAUCUCGUGAAGAAGACAAAUUUUUGAGCAUCGGUGGGCUUGGACAGCGUUGUCCGGUCAAGGAGAGGCUGAGACCACAGGGCUCAGCUUCGGAGCAGUCGGAUAGUGAGGCUAUUGUGGGAAGUCUUUGUUAUGGUACAAAAAGCAUGCACUGUGCGGGCCUUGA